AUUGAACGCUGGCGGCAGGCCUAACACAUGCAAGUCGAACGAGUGGCGGACGGGUGAGUAAUGUCUGGGAAACUGCCCGAUGGAGGGGGAUAACUACUGGAAACGGUCGCUACUACCGCAUACCAUCGGAUGUGCCCAGCUGGGAUUAGCUCGUAGUUUGGGUAACGGCUCACCUAGGCGCCUAUCCCUAGCUGGUCUGAGAGGAUGACCAGCCACAAUGGAACUGAGAAACGGUCCAGACUCCUACGUGAGGCAGCAGUGGGGAAUAUUGCACAAUGGGCGCAAGCCUGAUGCAGCCAUGCCGCGUGUAUGAAGAAGGCCUUCGGGUUGGAAAGUACUUUCAGCGAGGAGGCGUUACUCGCAGAAGAAGCACCGGCUAACUCCGUGCCAGCAGCCGCGGUAAUUC
rnacentral:rRNA from 1 species